GAAUUUUUCCUAUAGGAAUUUUUCCUAUAGGAAUUCCUAUAGGAAUUCCUAUAGGAAAAAUUCUUAUAGGAAUUUUU